CAUCUCUUUGCUGUGGCUAUACUUACGCAGUUCAAAAAGAUGAGACUUCUCAACCCAAAAUGCGGAAUAUUGCACCAAAAUCGUCCCUUGUUUCUCUUUCUCUUCGUUGGCUCACUUUCAAGUUAAUCCAAGUAUAGGUAAAGCUGAUUCAACUAUCAAGUUGGAAGUCAUUAUUAUUGUGGAGCUGUUUGCUUAGCUACCAUUGCUUUAACACCAAGAUCAGAACAAUUUUUUCAUAAUUUGAGUGCCUCCUGGUACAAGAUAUGAAUCCUCUUUCUUGGCCAAGAAGGAGUACGUCGACUUAGACUACAGAAGCAGAGAAGAUUACUUCCUCCAAGUAGCUCAGCACUACUGCAAAAUGCUUACCCUUGCCACCACAGGUUCAAGAGGUGAUUAUAGCAGCUGAUUUAAGGUGUGGGGAAUGUGAAAGAAGGGUUGCUGGCAUACUCUCCAAAAUCGAUGAUGUGGAGUCUGUGGUGUUUCAUGUAUCAGAGAAGAGGGUCACACUUACUCGUAAAACUGCGGCCAAAUGAUUCUCAAGAAGCGUUAUCCGUUUCAUCUACAUUUCCAAGUGCUAAUGAUCUUAAUCUCUUGAUCUAGGGCUGUGUAAUCCAUAUGCCAAAAGUUUGAUUUGACAUUGUGUCUUUUUGUGCAUGUAUGAUUGCUUCUUUGCUAAUGCUAGGACAUUCAAUUCCUCUCUUGGAGUGAUACCAACUUUUGAAUUAUGAAGUGCAUCUAGCGUAGAAGGUAUAAAUCAAAUGAUGGUUGAGAUGUUAGGAAAUGGGGCAGGACAAUUAUUCUGAUGACUGUUCUUAACAGUUCACGGUCAUGAUUGAUAAAAAAAACAAAAUGCAUGACUCAAAUCAUUGUGUACAUUGUCUUUAAUGUCAUGUAUGAUAUGGGAUCCAAAAGUUUGUUCAA